UUGGAUUUUCGGCCGUCCGAUCGAGCUGACGUGGCGCGAUCUCGGCCGGCCGUUCCGUCCAGGGCGCGAGGCCUCGCACGAACCCACGUUUUAUCCAUGGGUCGUGUAAAAGCCCGCCUGGCCCGGUCGUGCCGCCAAUCAUGUGUCGCGCCUCUCCUCCCCAAUCCCAUCUCUGCCCGUCGCCCUCCCUGGCCCAAUCCUCCCUCGCCUCGACGUCGCCGCCGUCGGGCUGCCCGGCGGAAGUAGCGCCGCCUCGUCGUCGCCAUCGCCGGCGGCUGCCGGUGGAGGCAGCAGGUCGCCGCCUCCUCGCCGCUCCAAGCGGAAGCAGCGCUGCCUCAUCCUCCAAUCCUUGGUCUGUCCUCCUCUUCUCAAUCCUCACUCUCUUCCCAAGCGCGGCGUGCUGCCUCCACGAGCGCGAGGGUCCUGGUGGGUUGCCCCUGGCACUGCAUAGAAGCUCCAAUGGGGUCCUCGCUCCUUGUUUUCUCGCGGACGACCUCUACACCAGUACGUCACCAUGCCACCACGAGCCCCAUCGCUCCCUCCUCUCCAAGGAACAGCUGCAUAUAUUGGGAUUGCCAAAUAGAAGAGGUCACCUGGGAGUGGAUUCAGGAGAUGAAAGAUUCCAUGAUGACUCUGUUGGAACAUACCAAUUGCAUGGACAAGUAUUGCAGCUGGUUAAUUUGUUGCUUGCUAAUUUUUAUUCCAUUAUCCAUGAAAGUGUUCUGAUAUAUAUAUAAUAUAAUUAAGGUGUUCCAUCCACGGACACUCAACAAGCAAUAAGAUUGGAUGAUACUUAGUUUAACCAAAGAUUUCCAAGUCCUAAGGUGCUGGUUCCAGUUGUUGAAAGAGCCCAGCAGCUUCGUGGCGGCAGUGCGUCUUCUGCUCUUUCCGUAUGAUAUAUAGCUCUCAUGUGGUUUUGUAUUCUGUGUUUCUUACCUUUGCAAUGGUUAUCUUUGACAGAGACUGUAAAUUUCCUAAUGAUUUUCCUCUUAUUGUAGAUUUCCUCUAUAGUGUCCGUGUCUCAUGUUGUUUUCCUGAUGCUUGUAGGCCUUUGUCGAUAUGUAGAAUGAAGCAUAGAUUAUUUUGCACUUCAUUUCUGAAGUUUAUAAAAAAAGAGGAGAUUCCUACCUCUUAAUAAAGUAUACAGAUCUAAUUUCUGAUUAAGGAUACAGUUUCCUCCAUUGAAACAACAGAUUAACAGUAACUCUUGUAGGUUGUGUCCAAUGUCCUCCCUGUGUUGGCGAUGACCCAGGCAAUUAGCAUUCCAGGUAUUCGUGCAGUGUACUACUUUUGCUUGUUGCUGCUUGGAGCUAUGGAAAUAUUCCCUUUCUAUUUGUCAUAUAUCCCGCAGGUUAGAAAUAAGUAAGUAAGAUACAAACUCCGGCAUGAUAUUGAAAUAAUUAAGUUUGAAAUGGAUGUGGCAUAUUUUUAAAUAUGUGCCAGGGGAGGACCAAGACUUUAAUAGCAUGUGUUAUCUGCCUGAUUUGACAGUUUACAUACUUCAGCAGGAGAUACAAAAUGAUUAGAGCUUAAACUGUGAGGCUAAUAAAGAGCACUUGUGUACAAACAUGGAUAUUUCCAUACCUGAUUAAACACAUCCGGGAGAAUAAGAUUUAGUUCAGUACAACGUUUUGAGUGAUAAAUAUUUAGACUUGGUAGAAGUGAUUCAUGCUAUAAUAAUGCUAAUCUCUGGGUUAAAACCUCCUUGAUUAGGUGUCAUAUUUUAGUGUAGUUAAUAUCUUGGGGCUACCACCUGCAUAUGAUGCAGAUACUUUGUUUAUUAGAACAGAAAAUCAAUCUUGCGAGUUAUCCCAUCAGGCAUUUCACCUCCUUGAUUCAGAACAGAAAACCAACUGAUGUUUGUUGGAAUGUUGUACCUGUUUUCUUAUAGCCAUCGAACUCAAUAUUUAUGUUUUGAUACAAACGUAUAUAAUUUUAUACCUGAUACAUGUUUAGGGAGGACAUGCAACUGACGCUCAAGAAAAAUAAAGUAUUUUCAUGUAUUUUUUUGGCAAGACCUUCAUUUAUACUUAUGUACUGUUAUAAAUGACAUCUGAGAUAAAGAAUGAACAUUUGAGUAUUACCAGGUGAUAAAGAAGCAUUUCCAUAGUGGAAUGUCUCGCUGCGGAGGAGCGGGGUCACUCUGAGCGUAAUCAUAAGAUUAUCCUCGGAAAUGAAGGAUCAAUUGCAGUUUCUAUUAUGCUAGAGUCAAAGUUCUCGAAUUUACUGUAGAGUAUGACUCAGACAACAAACCAUUCCAAGAGACAGUUAAACCUAUGGUAGAUGGUGGAACAGAAGGUUUCGAAGGUUAUGCUAGAGUCAUUAUGCCAAGGAUAACACCUUGUUUUGAGCGCAACAUAUGGAUUUUCUCUCCCUAUAUAAAGUUUCCAUUAUGUACCUUCGCCAAGACUUAGAGUACUGCUGCUCAUUGCAUUGAGUAUGCUCGUUUCAUCAAAUGGGACAAGAACAUAUGCAGUGGAUUUAUUCAGAGGUUUGUUCUACUGUUAUGACAUGUAAUUUAGGUAGUGCUAUUCUUUCCCAGUCUAAUUUUCCAUUUACACAUGUACAUGCUUAAAGAGAACAUAACUUUUUGGUGUUUCUGGAGUUACAUAUUCUUUGACUCAAGUUGUUUUCUUCUUCGUUUAUUCUCCAGACCUUAGAUGUAAUUUUAUUUCUUCCUUGUCUAUCCAAGAGUUUAAUACAUUUUCUAAAUUCACUAAUAAUGUAUUCCAUCAUUAAAAAUUAUAACAUUCUUGCUAGAAUCAUAGCAUGUGGUAUUUUAUUACCUUUAUUACACAUGAAACCAAUCCAACCUUAUUAUGUUAACCUCAUAUUCAAAUGUCCCAGCAAUAUGGUGUUCGGCAGGUGAAAAUUCCGCUGCCAGUGGCGGACGUUUCGGACGUUUCGUGAGUGUGGAUGGCAUUGCAGCUCAAAUACGAAACCUGACAUAUAGAAUUGUAGCCCUGUCAAGAUUAUCACGUUUCUCUAGCAGUCUGAUGUACUCCAAUACUAGGCUUUUAUUUCUGCUGCUUUUUCAUUGGAACCUUUGAAGCUUGUUUUUGGCUGCACCAGAAGUGUGUCAAAUUCGUUGCAUCAGGCCCCAUUCUUAGUUUGUUACUCAAAUAGUUGGUGCCACCAAAUAGUAAGAACGAAUGUUAUAUUUAACAAGUUAUUUAUGAAUAUUUUUAUUCUUACAUAUUAGCCAAAUCUAUUACCAUCUAAAUGCAAAAUAUAUGUAUGCCAAAAAUCCUGAGAUUUUCCAAGUGGACCAUGCAUAAAUGUGAUUUAGUCAGAAAGGCAUAGCACAACAUUUUUUCAGAAAAUGCCACACGAUUAGCAUUUCUUGAAUUGCUCUAGAGAUUUGGUUUGGUUAGUUAUUCUCUAUUCUCUAUUCUUGUGGCAGACAUAUAUUUUGCAUUUAGAUGGUAUGACUUGGCCAGUGAUCUCGGGUCAUAUUACAGUUUUUGCAUUGUUGAUAAACUCUUGUUCGGGAAAUCUUUUGUUCGAGCCAUUUAUUGCUUGAAUAUGUUAUAUAUACAUGACUGGAGGAUGGACACUAAGUAAUUCAUAUUCUCUGCUAAACUUGGUUGGUCAUACUUAUGAAUUGGCUUCUGCUAAAAGUAGUGCACGUGGUCAUGCCAUCCUUAUCUUUAUACAUGCCAAGAAGUGGGCCUAAGCUCCAGGUGAGAUCACCGGUAGAUUCAGAUAUGACACCCUUUCCUUCAACUCUUUUUGAAACAUCCAUUGAAAAAUGAGGACUGAUGGAGACAUAUUUAAAUAAGUACUUCAUCACUCGUGUUUUAUUGCGCUACUCAACAUUAAUGUGUCCCAGAUGUUUUUUAGCAAGUCCCUGUUGUAUGGAACUACCUGCCGAUUAUCAAGUCACUUUCCAUUCUUAUAUACAAAGCACCCAUUGUCACUGCAUCUAUAAAUAGCAGAACCAUUCCACUCUUAUAUGUAUCAUACUCAGUUUCUUCUGUAUUGUAUAACCUAUUGUUGCUAAUUUAGGUACAACAAACGUUUUCUAUUUUUUUUGAUCUUCAAUUUAUAUCACUCAGCUAAUGGACCUAAGAUCAUAUAGGUAAUCUACUCCUGUAACUAUUCUUCAUGUGCUCGAUUUGCUUAUUUGUUGUUUAUCAUCAACUUUCAUAAACCUUUAGGAUUUGCUUUUGUUUACCAGCAGCUUCAAGGUUGUCCAGACUGUUUGAAGUGCUCUGUUUUGAGAGGCCGGAAAUGCUCUUUAAUUCUUCUUAUUAAAUUUGAGUUUGCAUUUUGCAAAAAAAAAAAAAAGACAGGUAAUGAGUGCUAGGGAUAAUGACCGGUUCUUCAUUACAAUUCAUCUUUUGUUAUUAGGCUCGAUUGUUUGUCACGAAAUGAUAGAUGUAAUAGGCAUGGUACUUCACUACCAUUAAAUUAUAGCUUACGUACCCUCUACAUGUCAUUGAUUUUUCGUUCAUGAUAUCUGCCUUGGGCUCUACUCUAAGAUCGCAUCUGCAAUGUUGAGCCACGACUGGAGGUGCAGUGGUGGGGUUCGCCGUGGUCGGUCAGUCCUUGGCAAGAUGUCAACACUGGCGAUUCUAGACGCCGAGGCCGCCAAGUGAAGUUGGCCGACUCACUUUUCGCCAAUUGACAUGGCAGCUCCCGCCAUUGGCAGCGGCGCGGUCUUCCCACAAGAAAGCUCCCUCUAUUUUCUCCAUCAGCUUCAGGAUUUUUUUGGGCGGUGCCAACACCAGAAAUUGGUGGAUUGGGAUCACACCAAAUACAGACUUCACCAGAGCCAACCUCCCUGGUUUUUGCAUCAAUCUUGAUUUCCAGGAGGGUAGUUUGCCUGCCAUUUUGACAGCAAGGGGCAGUAGUUGGGCAGCAGUUAUAUGAAACAAAAAUGAAUUCUAUGUCCAGUACGACUAUCUAGAAUAAAAUAACUGCUAUGAAUCCUCAGUUCAUAAAAAUAUUCAAAUUUAAUUUUACUUGAUCAUAUUGACAGUUAGAAGCUUUGAACCAUGUUUUUUUGUGUAUAGUAUGCAGUUUAUACCAUCAGAGUAGCUGCUAAAACAGAAGUGGAUGUAAGAUACUUUGCAUUGCAUAUGGUUUUAGAUCAUUGCCUCACAUGGAGCUGAACCAUCUGUCCGCAAUGUCAUCGCCAAGGUCAGAGACGAAGCUGCCCUUUGGUUCAGAGCUGGCGCGUCGAGCCUGCGUGUCCUCCUGCCGCCCACCUGGGAUGUCCACUGAGUUGUAAUCUCUGUUUAUCUUUUCAGAACCAUGGCCUCUUAGGAGGAUUGUAACAACUAACUCUUCCCUUGUUUUUAAUGAAAUGAAAUGCAAAAGUUUUUUGGGUUUUCUCAAAAAAGAUCAUUGCCUCACCGCCGUUGCCUUUUGGUCAAUUUCUAUCUUCCGUAGGUUGGAUUGAGGUAGAGCAUGGUCACCGACUACCGGAGGUGUUGCAAAAUGGGUCUGCUGGCUGAUACGGAGAAGAAGGCAAGGUUUUGGUGCAUGGAUCAGUAGAAGCUACCUAACAAGUACAUUUUAAAUACAUUGGGAAAAUACCUCAGACUUGCUUAUUUAUGAUCCUCGUGUAUAAGGAAAAAUGAUAUAGCAUCAGAUUUAUGUGCUUACUAGGUUUGUUUGUUCAUUCUGGAGCUUUUUUAAUUCUCAGAAAAAACAUUGUGUUAAUUCUUACCUGAUGGAUUUGAUAAGAUAAGAGAUAACAUUUAAUAGCUAUCGACUUAUCAUUGCCAGUCACUUUUACCACUUCGCUGUCAUGAUUCAAUGUGCACUCAAAAAAGCCUUGGCUGAAAUAAUGAAAUGGAAGAUAUACACUCUGUUCUGCUCAAUCUUUCACAACGGAUCCUUUUUUUUAAAUGCUAUACUUCUGAAAUAUUUGCUUCCUAUUUAUAGGUAUUUGGUUCAAGUGGGCAAGAUUAACUUUUUGUUUUCAUCAUCUACUGCAGGGAAAGAGCAGCUUAUGCACAAAAGGUGUAUAUCUUAUGCCUUUUACUAUAUUGUGGUUGCACAUUGUCACUCAACUUUUUAGUCUUUUGGAUCUAUUUGUAUAUUUAUAUGUUGUUUUUCGGCCACAACACCCGAACAACAGAAUGGUUUUGCCCAUAUACCUGUCCAUUUGAUUGAACACCUAUUUUGGUACAUUUGGUCCGCGGCAUUGCUUUGUGAAACUUAAGAAAUGUAAUAUCAUAUAAGCAGAUUUUUGUUGUCGUUAUACAAAAUAUACAUUGACAUGA